rnacentral:lncRNA from 1 species
GACCCUGGACGUUUUAAAAUGGCCAACGACGUGUUCUCUUCAAAUAUGCUAUCGUUAACGUGCUAUUGAAAUCGUCUCAAAAAAACCAAUGUUGACACGAUAAAUGUAUUAGAAAAAGAAAUAUGAAGAAACAAAAAUGAAGUAAAAAGUUAGUAAACAAAGAGAUUGAAAGCUUUGGAACGUGAUUAUAAUUCAUUGAAAUUUUUUAAUAUUCAUUUUGUGGAGUGCAAGAACAAAGAAAUGUUGUUACCAAAAUCGAGAAUUUCAUACAAAGGACGUUUACGUUUUCAGUAAAUAUUCGAAAGGUUACGUAUUGUCUUUGAAAAUGACCAACUUUCACUUAACACCUGACACGAAAUUUUUGGUUACACGUAACUUAUGCCGUAUAAAUAAUUAUGUCGUAAGAUUAUAAUUGGAAUUCCUACAAAUAUACGUUGGUUCUUUUACUGUGGGGCAAAUUCCAUUUAAUUGGAACCCUACGGUUCCGCUCCCAUCAUUCGCAAUUACCAAUUUAGAGGACGUUUGUUAUCUUGGCAAGGUCGGUACGUUACUCAGGACACCAUCAACCUGAAGACUUUUCAACUCCGAUUAUGAUAGGUAAUCUUGAUGAUUGGAUAUUUGGGAUGAUUGUCGACAAUUUCUACGAAAUAUAUCAACAACUUUAGAAGUCCGCGUUGUCUUAGGUCAAGAUAAAGUCAUAUUAAACUACUUGAAAAUUAAAGAAGUAUACGAAAUCAUUUUAUUAACAUUAAGUUAUAUCACAUUAAUUUAAGAUAUAAAUCGUUUCUUAACUCUUAGCAAUAAAUGAGAAGCGAUAUUUCAAAGAUAAA